UGCGUACGCAUGCCGCAGGUCUCGCCCACAUAGGCGACGUGGCGUCCCUCUUCACCACAUUCCCAUUCGCCUCCGCUGCUUGUCUCACCACUCACACCCUCCUGAGGAGCGCAGCCACUUCGGCGCGUGGAACUCUCGCCAAACAGUGCUCUGCCCUUACGCUUACCACGUAAUACGCGCACAGGCAGGCACUUUGGGCCGUCGGAGGGCGUCGUCGCUCAUAGACGUGGAUUCCGGAACGCAGCAGGGGAUCCCCUUUUGGCAUGCAUCACGUGCGCGGCCUCGUGCGACAUGCGGGACGCAAAGUCUUGCGCGCUCUCGAGGCUCGGCAAACGACGACGCUACCUCAAGCGUGUCUGUGCCGUGUGGAGCUGGUGGACGUGAAUGGCGAGCGCCAGGCCGUGACGCUGCUUCAUCCCGGCGCUUUGCUCACGAUGGUUAAGGGCAUGACUCCCUCACAGGCUCUGCGUGCGCUCGAAGAUAUAGCGCAGCAACUCGAUACACCGGCUCAAACGACCUCUGCCGGCGCGACAUCCUCAACGAAAAUCGACGAAGGGUCGUCGAGAGCCGUGCUUGGCACAGAGCAUGCCAUACCGCAACUGUACGUGAAGGAUCAAGUGCACGGCACGUGCACCGAGGUGCAGCGGCGACAGUGCCGUUUUAUCGCCAAGGUGCGCGGCCGCUUCGUGUCCUCCGACCCUGCCGCGGUCGAAGGCGCCUUGCAUGGGUGGCUGCAGAAGUCACCAGGGGACCUGGACGACGUGGAGGCGGCACAGUACAACGGAAUGGUGGAGUCGCUGGCGGCGACCGACACGGCUGCUGCCAUCGCGCUCGCCAUCAACCCUUCUCUCCCAAGCCUCUCUGCAGCUGCCAGUGCGGCUCUAGCGUCGCUGGUUCAGCUGCACACCCCGGCUGCCGUUCACGCGUUUUUGGAGUCCUUCGCUGGAAAAGACGAAUCAGCGACGUCGGCGUCGGACUCCUGUGCAACCCAGCUCGCCAUGCGCCUGCGCCGCGAGCUGGGCAAGGCGCAGUCCAAUGAAAGUCGGCCAGCGGUGUCGUCUGCUGGCGUGGCAGCGCAACGACCGGGGCACGGGAUGGGCGCCUUACUGCGUGAAGCUACGCACUUCUCCAUCGACCCCGGUGUCGUUUUCCCAGCAGAGCCGGCAUCAAUCCAAGCGUGGGCGAACCAAUUUGUCAGCCCUGACAUGCUGCCUGUGAGCCGUGCCGCGGCGGUGCUCAAGCAGGUGCGCCAGCGACGUCUGCAGCCGCGACGCGUCGCGAUGGAUUCACUGAGUGUGUGGACGCUCACAGAUCUUGAGCGCCCGUGGCUCCGGUUCGCGCUCGAGUCGUCUGCGCAGGCGCAGUGUGCGAGGGGCGACACCUACGUAAGCGCGGCCUAUCAGCUUGCCCUGAAAGAUCCGAAGCGGAACUUGGUGGACAACCGCCUGCUGCACACAUACGCCAGAGCGCUCGCACGCGGCGACAUCUCGCCACUGGACGACUCCUUCGCCGCGUACUUGGAGGAAUGUGGCGAGUGUCACGACACCGCCGCCUCCGAGCGCCCCUCCAUCAUCCGCUUUACCUUGUCGAGCGUGCCAGAUGGUGUUCCACUGCUGCGUGCGCUGCACGAUCUCGCGCCGAAGUGCUCCUACUGGCGCACCCUUCUCGAUCACCUCGCAGACAGCUGCGUGCGUGUUUCAACUGCACCGAUGAGUGAGGUCAAGGUAGAGGUACGACUGCCGUGCGUUCACGAAUGCGUGGCAGCUGCGACGGCGGCAGAAGUGAAACUGCCGAUCAUACCAGUGCUUUACGAGGAUGACGACGUUCUUGUUGUCGACAAACCUGCGGGACUGGCGACGUCGCGCCAUGGACUGAGUUGCACGCAGCUCGGGACGCCAACGACUGACCUCAUUUCUGUGUUGCUAGCCACAGACCGCGUCGGCGCCCUUGCGAGGGGCAUCUUUCGUCAAGGGCAGGUGCAUCGCCUCGACGCGGAGACGAGCGGGUGUCUGCUCAUCGCCAAGUCUGACGUGGCGGCCGACUCACUGCGGCACCAACUCGGUACGAGCGCAGCCUUCUCUCACCACAGCAAAAUAUACCACGCGCUCUGUGUGGUAUUGGAGCCAUCGCUACGCAAUGUGCGUCUGCAUGAUGACAUCAUCGACGCCGCAGACCCUAAGAUCAGGACCCGCUACCGCGUUAUCCGUUUUUUCCCAAAGCACAGGGUGGCGUGGGUGGAGUGCCGCAUUCAGCAGGGCAAGAAGCAUCAGAUCCGACGCCAUCUGGCAAGCCGUGGUCUCCCCAUCCUCGCCGAUCUGGAGCACGGCGGGGCAGUGUGCUGUCAGUCGAUGAUAAGUCGGGUCGCACUACACGCGCACAGCCUCUCCUUCAUCCACCCCGUUACAGCGGACCCCAUUACUGCCGCAGCACCUCUGCCCGCAGACUUUCGACGCUGCCUCUCGCUACUGCGCGACACGGGCGUAGAGUAGCAGGAGGGAGGAAGCGAGAGGGCGGGGGCAGCGUGUAAGGUGCGAAGAGAGGCACUUUCAUGGCAGGAAGAGAAAGUGACCAAGGCGGCACUGCUUCCGAUCCAGCGCGUCACUCGCGCGCGGCGGUGCGCCUUUGUCUUCACAUGACGACUCGUAAUCAAAGCAAAAAAAAAAAGAAUGUCGGUGGCCGCUCGAAAGCGCGCGACCAUAUUCGCCAGAGAGAGAGGAAGAGGGGUGGUGGUGGAAGCAUCCUCCCCCCUCCCUCUCUGCCUUUUUG
rnacentral:misc_RNA from 1 species